rnacentral:rRNA from 1 species
AUACGUAGGGUGCGAGCGUUGUCCGGAAUUACUGGGCGUAAAGAGCUCGUAGGUGGUUUGUCGCGUCGUCUGUGAAAUUCCGGGGCUUAACUCCGGGCGUGCAGACGAUACGGGCAUAACUUGAGUACUGUAGGGGAGACUGGAAUUCCUGGUGUAGCGGUGAAAUGCGCAGAUAUCAGGAGGAACACCGGUGGCGAAGGCGGGUCUCUGGGCAGUAACUGACGCUGAGGAGCGAAAGCAUGGGUAGCGAACAGGAUUAGAUACCCUGGUAGUCCAUGCCGUAAACGGUGGGCGCUAGGUGUAGGGGUCUUCCACGACUUCUGUGCCGUAGCUAACGCAUUAAGCGCCCCGCCUGGGGAGUACGGCCGCAAGGCUAAAACUCAAAUGAAUUGACGGGG